UACGUAGGGACCAAGCGUUGUUCGGAUUUACUGGGCGUAAAGGGCGCGUAGGCGGCAAUUCAAGUCAUCUGUGAAAUCUCCGGGCUUAACCCGGAACGGUCAGAUGAUACUGCUUUGCUAGAGUGCAGGAGAGGCUAACGGAAUUCCCGGUGUAGUGGUGAAAUGCGUAGAUAUCGGGAGGAACACCGGUGGCGAAGGCGGUUAGCUGGCCUGUAACUGACACUGAGGCGCGAAGGCUAGGGGAGCGAACAGG
rnacentral:rRNA from 1 species